AGUAGCGGCGAGCGAACGGGGAGCAGCCCAGAGCCUGAAUCAGUGUGUGUGUUAGUGGAAGCGUCUGGAAAGGCGCGCGAUACAGGGUGACAGCCCCGUACACAAAAAUGCACAUGCUGUGAGCUCGAUGAGUAGGGCGGGACACGUGGUAUCCUGUCUGAAUAUGGGGGGACCAUCCUCCAAGGCUAAAUACUCCUGACUGACCGAUAGUGAACCAGUACCGUGAGGGAAAGGCGAAAAGAACCCCGGCGAGGGGAGUGAAAAAGAACCUGAAACCGUGUACGUACAAGCAGUGGGAGCACAGAGCAAUCUGUGUGACUGCGUACCUUUUGUAUAAUGGGUCAGCGACUUAUAUUCUGUAGCAAGGUUAACCGAAUAGGGGAGCCGAAGGGAAACCGAGUCUUAACUGGGCGUUAAGUUGCAGGGUAUAGACCCGAAACCCGGUGAUCUAGCCAUGGGCAGGUUGAAGGUUGGGUAACACUAACUGGAGGACCGAACCGACUAAUGUUGAAAAAUUAGCGGAUGACUUGUGGCUGGGGGUGAAAGGCCAAUCAAACCGGGAGAUAGCUGGUUCUCCCCGAAAGCUAUUUAGGUAGCGCCUCGUGAAUUCAUCUCCGGGGGUAGAGCACUGUUUCGGCAAGGGGGUCAUCCCGACUUACCAACCCGAUGCAAACUGCGAAUACCGGAGAAUGUUAUCACGGGAGACACACGGCGGGUGCUAACGUCCGUCGUGAAGAGGGAAACAACCCAGACCGCCAGCUAAGGUCCCAAAGUCAUGGUUAAGUGGGAAACGAUGUGGGAAGGCCCAGACAGCCAGGAUGUUGGCUUAGAAGCAGCCAUCAUUUAAAGAAAGCGUAAUAGCUCACUGGUCGAGUCGGCCUGCGCGGAAGAUGUAACGGGGCUAAACCAUGCACCGAAGCUGCGGCAGCGACGCUUAUGCGUUGUUGGGUAGGGGAGCGUUCUGUAAGCCUGCGAAGGUGUGCUGUGAGGCAUGCUGGAGGUAUCAGAAGUGCGAAUGCUGACAUAAGUAACGAUAAAGCGGGUGAAAAGCCCGCUCGCCGGAAGACCAAGGGUUCCUGUCCAACGUUAAUCGGGGCAGGGUGAGUCGACCCCUAAGGCGAGGCCGAAAGGCGUAGUCGAUGGGAAACAGGUUAAUAUUCCUGUACUUGGUGUUACUGCGAAGGGGGGACGGAGAAGGCUAUGUUGGCCGGGCGACGGUUGUCCCGGUUUAAGCGUGUAGGCUGGUUUUCCAGGCAAAUCCGGAAAAUCAAGGCUGAGGCGUGAUGACGAGGCACUACGGUGCUGAAGCAACAAAUGCCCUGCUUCCAGGAAAAGCCUCUAAGCAUCAGGUAACAUCAAAUCGUACCCCAAACCGACACAGGUGGUCAGGUAGAGAAUACCAAGGCGCUUGAGAGAACUCGGGUGAAGGAACUAGGCAAAAUGGUGCCGUAACUUCGGGAGAAGGCACGCUGAUAUGUAGGUGAAGUCCCUCGCGGAUGGAGCUGAAAUCAGUCGAAGAUACCAGCUGGCUGCAACUGUUUAUUAAAAACACAGCACUGUGCAAACACGAAAGUGGACGUAUACGGUGUGACGCCUGCCCGGUGCCGGAAGGUUAAUUGAUGGGGUCAGCGCAAGCGAAGCUCUUGAUCGAAGCCCCGGUAAACGGCGGCCGUAACUAUAACGGUCCUAAGGUAGCGAAAUUCCUUGUCGGGUAAGUUCCGACCUGCACGAAUGGCGUAAUGAUGGCCAGGCUGUCUCCACCCGAGACUCAGUGAAAUUGAACUCGCUGUGAAGAUGCAGUGUACCCGCGGCAAGACGGAAAGACCCCGUGAACCUUUACUAUAGCUUGACACUGAACAUUGAGCCUUGAUGUGUAGGAUAGGUGGGAGGCUUUGAAGUGUGGACGCCAGUCUGCAUGGAGCCGACCUUGAAAUACCACCCUUUAAUGUUUGAUGUUCUAACGU
rnacentral:rRNA from 1 species